AUUGAACGCUGGCGGCAGGCCUAACACAUGCAAGUCGAACGAGUGGCGGCCGGGUGAGUAAUGUCUGGGAUACUGCCUGAUGGAGGGGGAUAACUACUGGAAACGGUAGCUAAUACCGCAUACCAUCAGAUGUGCCCAGAUGGGAUUAGCUAGUUGGUGGAGUAACGGCUCACCAAGGCGACGAUCCCUAGCUGGUCUGAGAGGAUGACAAGACACACUGGAACUAAGACACGGUCGAGACUCCAACGGGGGGCAACAGUAGGGAAUAUUGCACAAUGGGCGCAAGCCUAAUGCAGCCAUGCCACGUGUAUGAAGAGGGCCUUCGGAUUAUAAAGUACAUUCAGCGGAGAAGCGUUACCCGCAGAAGAAGCACCGGAUAACUCCGUACCAACAGCCGCAGUAAUAC
rnacentral:rRNA from 1 species